GACGAACGCUGGCGGCGUGCUUAACACAUGCAAGUCGAACGGAAAGGCCCUGCUUUUGUGGGGUGCUCGAGUGGCGAACGGGUGAGUAACACGUGGGUAACCUGCCCUUGACUUUGGGAUAACUUCAGGAAACUGGGGCUACUACCGGAUAGGAGCUCCUGCUGCAUGGUGGGGGUUGGAACGUUUCGGCGGUUGGGGAUGGACUCGCGGCUUAUCAGCUUGUUGGUGGGGUAGUGGCUUACCAAGGCUUUGAAGGGUAGCCGGCCUGUGAGGGUGACCGGCGACAUGGGGACUGAGAGACGGACCAGACUCCUACGUGAGGCAGCAGUGGGGAAUAUUGCACAAUGGGCGGAAGCCUGAUGCAGCGACGCCGCGUGCGGGAUGACGGCCUUCGGGUUGUAAACCGCUUUCGCCUGUGACGAAGCGUGAGUGACGGUACUGGGUAAAGAAGCACCGGCUAACUACGUG
rnacentral:rRNA from 1 species